CCCAGCUCCUCUGCAGGUGUUGAGCGCCUCGACCACAGCUCCGCCUGUAUCACCUCCUCCAGCAGAAUCCGCCUGACUACCUACAGCGCAGCCGACUUUGAAGCUCUGUACGAAGAGCUGGAGCGGCUGGGACAAGGAGGAUUCGGGAGUGUCUUUGCUGGCUACCGGAGAGAGGACCGUCUGCCUGUCGCUAUAAACCAUAUCCCCAUGGACAUGGUCGUAAUGACCCGGGUGACUCUUAACGGGCAGCUGACGGACUGCCCGCUGGAAGUGUCUUUGAUGCUGAGGGCCGCCGAAGAUCAGCCGGACCCUGAGGGCCACGGGGCAGUUGUCCUCCUGCUAGACUGGUUCCAGCUGGACCAGGAGCUGAUCCUGGUGCAGGAGAGACCUCCUGAAACAAU
ensembl:lncRNA